rnacentral:lncRNA from 1 species
CUCUUUGCAGAGUGCAUCGGAUCACCUGCCCGCCCGCCCUCUUUUCCGGUUGACCUUGCUUUGCCUGUCAUGGGGUCGUCUGCCUUGGCGCAGGGGCCUAGUAGGAAUUUUGCCAUUUGGUGAUUGGCUGUGCCAUUUGGUUUUUGCCUACUACUCAGCAAUUCGUCACAACUUGUAAGGUUGCGGUUAGGCAUUGGUUAUAAUAUGCUGGUGGUGGAGGGGUCAGGAUAGGCCGUGCCUGCCCCUCCCAUUGCGCUGAAGGGAAUUCCGUUAAAGGAAUCCUGGGGCUUGCCAUGAUUUCGUCCAAUCCCUGUCAUGGGACCAGGGCCGCCCAAUCCCUGUCAUGGGAAUCCUUGUCAUAGGACCUGGGCCGGCAAGCUUCGGGGAGCUGCUGGGGUGAGCGGCGUGGGUCCGACGCUUAGCUCAAAUGACCCCCAAGUUUGACUUUCCCUUCUACUGGCUACCGAUCGGACCUCGGGAUGUCAGUUCUGUCCCAGGCGGGGGGACAGAUAGUCAUAACCAAUGUCUAAACAACCACUCACUGAUUUUGUAUUUUAAUAAAGUUGUGGCCAAAAUAGUGCCCAAAAACCAAAACUAAAAUAUGUGUUAUGUGUGAAGUUAUUUGAGGGGUGGCCUGGGGACCUACACACGCAAUUGCCAGUAACCAGUUUCCAUGGUCUGUACCAUUUCCACAACACAUUCCCUAAGGAAUCUUCCUGGGAUCUUUUUGUGUGUGUGGAUGUUAUAGUACUGGUAUAGUUUGUAAAUUUACGAUUCUUUCACAUCAUACAUUCAAAGCACAUGGCUUCUCCUAAAGCAGCCUGGAGUUUACCCUUCACUGAGCUACAAUUCCAAGCACCCUUAACAAACUACAGUUCCCAGAAUUAUAUGGGGAAAGCCAUGUGCUUUAAAAGUAUUUUUAAUGUAACAAGGGUUUAAUGGUCUUAAAGGGAGGGCUCUAUUGCCAGUAAUAUGUCUUAUUUCAAAAUGUAGUUAGCCAGUUCUACUUUGUUUGCGGACCAUCAUGCUGAUUUUUUUUUAAAAAAAAAUACUUAAUUCUUAUUACAUUUGUAUCCCACAUUUUCUUCAAGGGGCUCAAGAUGGUGUGUGUGGUUAUUUUGACAAAUUAUGUACCUCUUAACUACGGCCAUCUCUAAACUGUGUACAAGAAACUCAGUACAGUACAAUGAAAAUAAAAACCAGUUACAAUUAUACAAUCAGAAUUCAGUCAAUAUUGCCUACUGGAAUAGGUUCUCACCGUAUAUAUUUAUAUAUAUUCUCCUCCUUUGUAUUUAUUCUCUAAAUAAAUAAGCACGUCCACACAUGAAAAUUCCAAAACCAUUUUAACUAUGAGAAAGGGAAAGGUUGAAUAGCUCAGAGGCAGCGCACAUGUUUUUCAUGCAAAAGGUCCCAGGCUCCAGUUCCUGGCAUCUCCAGGUAGAACCUGUGUCAGAGACUCCUGUAUGACCCCUGGAGAGCAGCUACCAGUCAGUGCAGAUGGAGACAAUAUUGAACUUGGUGAACCAAUUACUUAAUAUAAGGCAGAUUCAACUAUGUAGGUGUGUUCGCUUUCUACCAGUGGCAGCAGCUCACGAGCAGAUGUCUGUUCACACAGGAUUUUGAAAUGAAUAUGAAACCAUUUAUUUUUAUUUUGUCAUUAGAUUUGUAUACUGCCCUAUACCUGUAGAUCUCAGAGUGAUUCAUGACAAAUAAAUAAAUAAAUAGCAUCUAAGGCUGCAAUAUUCCACUACCCUGGGGUAAUCUCCAUUGAAUUCAAUAGGACUUGCUGCUAAGUAAAAAUGGUUAUGUUUGCAAUGUAAGUUACCCAAUUUUGCCUUGCAAACAAAAGAAUGAACAAAAUAUAGAAUUCCUAUACAUAAGCAGCUGAAUACCAAAGAAUGUGAAGAAGUAUCUAUGCACAAGACAUAAUUUUAUAUGUAAAACUUUAAAUUACAAUAGGAAUAUAUGCUAUUGUUCUUCAGUGACAAUCCAUAAAAGAUUUCAAAUUGCUUUUCACAUAUUUAUGUGUUAAAAAUAAGUUACGAUGGCUUUGUAUAGCAUGUAAUACAAUUAUGUUGUGAUAGCUUGGAUUCUUGAAUGCAGUGAGAUAUGAGAGUGGUUGCUUGUAAAGUGCUCCAGUCUUAGGAGAAAAUGACAUCUCUUCAAUUUCUAGAACAAUGAAUUGUGUAUGGACAGCUAUUGUGUAUGAAAUUGCUGCUGUUACUCAUGAACAACAUUAGUAUGCCUUAGAGCUGAUGCCCUUCCUUGCUGUCCUCUUUUCUACUCUCCCCAAUUCAAAUAUUGACGUGCAUACCCAGGUGAUUCUACUCUCUACUUCCUUCUUUUAUUGGUUCUUGGUUGUGUGGGAAUGCAACAUUGAAGGUAAGGCGGCAAUGUCGUUGUUUGCUUAUUUCGAUCAUCAGAGACUCUGCAUGAUUUAAAGGUUCAUUUUACAAGUUUGCUAUAGGAGGAUAACAAACAGCACAAAGCUUACCAGCUUCCUUUGAGGGAUAGCUCAGCAACCUGAGAUGACCCAAAAAAGGAAAAUUCUCAUUACACAGGAAAGCAGCGAAAAAGGCAGGAAACAAAAAAAGACAUUCACUGAAAGCUUUAGAAACUAAAAGGGAAAUGAUUUUAUCUGGAAAAUCCUCUGCUGCAGUAAGUUUUUAUUUAUUUGUUUUGGUUUUUACCUUGAAAGAAAGAGAAUCUGAACAAAGGUUCCAUUUGCUGGGUUAAUGGAUGACUGGCUCUUACAAUUCCAUGAUUCUUAUAUACCAUACAGUCUGAUUCUGCACUCUUAGAAGCUAUUAAUACUAUAGGUUCAUCAACUUGCCCAACUUUGCUAUACACAAACAUACAUCACAGGCAUACCAUCAUUGCCAAGCAUAUGAAACCUUUGAGUACAAACUGAACACGUAGUCACAUAUGAAGAACACCUGGCUGCCAUAUCAAAGGCAAAGCAAUGUUAAAGUGAUUUCUAUAACCCUGUUACCAUUUAAGUAACCAAAUUCAUAACAGACUACCAAAGGAAAAUUUAAUAAAGCCACAGCUAAAUUGUUUAACACCAGCAGUAUACACAUUUGAUCAAAGAUUAAAAACAAAACAGAACAUUGAGGCAUUAUCUUGCGAUGGAGCUGUUAGAACUAGUUUCGAAAUGUUACAGUAAUCACUUUAUAUUUCCAUUAUACUCUGUUUUGUCUCCAUUUCCCAGGAUUGCAAGGAAAAGUAAAACUGGAUUGUGUCACACAUCAUGUCCAGCACUUCACAGGUGUUUGACAUUACUAGAAACUAAAUGACACAGCAACAGUCAAUGUUAUUUGCUACCUCCCAGGUGUUUGAACCCCUGCCUCUGAUCUCAUAUACAGAAAAUGCAAGUUGUCACCUGAUUCAGUUUUUGUGAACUCACAUUUGGAUAAUUUUAAAUAAUUCUAUAUUGUGGAAGGCAGUGUCUUCAUUUCAGUGAGGUCAACUGAACUUUCUCAUUGAAAACAUUGCCUAGAGCAGAGAGAGGGACUGUUUGGCUAAAGGCUGCAUCUAUCUUUCUUCUAGUUCUUUUAGCUCAUUUAGCUCUUCCCUCCCACCCAAGAACUGCAAAAGAGCAAUUGGCAAGCAUGAAAGCUAGCAGAUAACUUAGUUCUCAUCUGCACAUUCACCCAGAAGGUAUAUAUCAUGUUAUUUCAUACUGGAAUUUGUGAAGACUGAACGGCUCAAGCAUCCCUAGACAGACUGGUAAUGCAGCUGAGACUGUGCCCUCAAAGUUCAGACUUUCAGAAGACUGACUCCUAAAACUCUGAUCCUUGGGUGCUUUGAUUAAUGCCUCUUCAGAGACUGUGAUGACUUUUUCAGGAUACAGUACAGAGCAUUUGUACCAAGAAGUAAAGAUGUUAGGUGAGAUAUCUCUAAGUAUGUCAGAACCACAAGCUUGAAAUUGGCUCAGUAGCCAAUGGAGAUAUAUUUUGGCUCUAAUCAUCAAACCCAUCAAAACUCUGGAAUCUGUGGUUUGCAGUAUCUGGAAUCUGCAAACCAUCUCAAGGGCAGUCUAAAUGCUAUCUUACAAUGUCAUGGAUCAUAGCGGCCAGCUUAUUCCUGCCCAGAAAUGGCUUAGCUUUCCAACCAUCCAUAGAUUGAAAUGCCAAUGGCUAAAUAUUAAACAGAUAUUAAGAGAAGAAUAUGGAACAAUGUAGAGCCUCACAGCACAACUACCAUGGUGUCAAGCAGUACUACCCUCUGGGACUAUUCCUGUAGGUAAGAGUGAAACCACCAUAACCCCAUCCAUCUGAUCUUCAACCCACCAAGUUGGUUCAGAAGGUUACUAUGACCAAAAGUAUCAAAGGCCACUGAGAGAACAAGAAGACUAGUUAGGGUUGCAUUCCUGCUGUCAUUCUCACCAAACAAGUCACCAAUCAGAGUGACCAGUUCAGUGUGAAAACCAAGUCUGAAGCCAGACUGAAAUGUUUCUAGAUAAUUAGCUUUGUCCAAGUAUAACUAAAGUUAUAUAGCCGCUCCCUUUGCGAAAUCCAAACUAUAUUAGUGGGAUUAGACUACCAAGUAAAAUAUUUCUUUAAAAUUACAUGGAAAUGAGCAAAUUUCAUGAUACCAUACUAUCAUCCUAUUAUCUAUGUUUAUACUGUUGGAUGCACUUUUAAUUAUGCAUUACUACUGUUUCAGUGAUGGAUUAGUGUACAUUGUCUAUGUCAGACUCCAUAUUCCUUACAUCAGUUAGCCAGAAAUUAGCUUUUUGCUUACAUCUGGAAUAAAAGUUUAAUUAAUUUACUACAAACAGGCAUACGUAAUGAAUUCUUCAAUUAAGGAGCUUCCUUAGAAUUUGCCACCUUUGAACCCGUGCAAGAUUUAAAAUGUUAUAAAUGUUAUUUUUAAUUUCUGUUCUUCUUUAAUGCAGUUUUAGAUAAAUGAUACAGUGUUAAAUUUUAAAUGACAGAAUUGCAAUUCCAAUAUCUACUUAAAUGAUGCACACAAUAUCUUAUCAGCUUACCCUAGGGGAAUCCAAACUCAGUGCAUUAAAGAUUAAUUUUGUUAAUAAAAAUAGCAUGUAAUAUUUACCAAUCAUAUAAAUUUGAGGUAAUAUAUCUUUAAUAAUAGUGAAAAGAAGAGAGAGGGAAUAUUUUUUUCCAAAGUUACAGCCAGGAAAGUCCUAAGCAAAGGACAUAUGCUAGUAAGCUGUCCUUCAACACAAUUAUUAGUUGUAAGUUCCAAAUCAGUGGUUCCCAAACUUUCCCCCACAAGACCAUUUGAAAACUGCUGAGUGUUUCAGUGCACAAUUUAAUGAUUUUUCUGCCAGUUGCAGCAUUGCAUUUCCAUAGAAUUCAAAUUGUAGUAC